rnacentral:rRNA from 1 species
AACGAACGCUGGCGGCAUGCCUAACACAUGCAAGUCGAACGAAGUCUUCGGACUUAGUGGCGCACGGGUGCGUAACGCGUGGGAAUCUGCCCUUGGGUGCGGAAUAACUUCUCGAAAGGGAUGCUAAUACCGCAUAAUGUCGUAAGACCAAAGAUUUAUCGCCCAAGGAUGAGCCCGCGUAAGAUUAGCUAGUUGGUGGGGUAAAAGCCUACCAAGGCGACGAUCUUUAGCUGGUCUGAGAGGAUGAUCAGCCACACUGGGACUGAGACACGGCCCAGACUCCUACGGGAGGCAGCAGUGGGGAAUAUUGGACAAUGGGCGAAAGCCUGAUCCAGCAAUGCCGGAUGAGACCACGAUCCCUUCGGGGGUU